CAGUCGCCGCGGGAAAACGUAGGUGGCAAGCGUUGUCCCGAAUUAUUGGGCGUAAAGCGCGCGCAGGUGGUUUAAUAAGUCUGAUGUGAAAGCCCACGGCUCAACCGUGGAGGGUCAUUGGAGACUGUUAAACUUGAGUGCAGGAGAGAAAAGUGGAAUUCCUAGUGUAGCGGUGAAAUGCGUAGAGAUUAGGAGGAACACCAGUGGCGAAGGCGGCUUUUUGGCCUGUAACUGACACUGAGGCGCGAAAGCGUGGGGAGCAAACAGGAUUAGAUACCCCAGUAGUCCCUGUCUCUUAUAC
rnacentral:rRNA from 1 species